CGAGGGGUAAUUUAAAUAGAAUGUUGGCUUUGGGGGUCAAUAGUGGAGGUUUGAUUCCUUCUUCCUCGA
rnacentral:tRNA from 1 species